rnacentral:rRNA from 1 species
CCUACGGGGGGCUGCAGUGGGGAAUAUUGGACAAUGGGGGGAACCCUGAUCCAGCCAUGCCGCGUGUGUGAAGAAGGCCCUCGGGUUGUAAAGCACUUUCAGUGAGGAAGAACGCCUGGUGGUUAAUACCCAUCAGGAAAGACAUCACUCACAGAAGAAGCAUCGGCUAACUCCGUGCCAGCAGCCGCGGUAAUACGGAGGGUGCGAGCGUUAAUCGGAAUUACUGGGCGUAAAGCGCGCGUAGGUGGCUUGAUAAGCCGGUUGUGAAAGCCCCGGGCUCAACCUGGGAACGGCAUCCGGAACUGUCAAGCUAGAGUGCAGGAGAGGAAGGUAGAAUUCCCGGUGUAGCGGUGAAAUGCGUAGAGAUCGGGAGGAAUACCAGUGGCGAAGGCGGCCUUCUGGACUGACACUGACACUGAGGUGCGAAAGCGUGGGUAGCAAACAGGAUUAGAUACCCUAGUAGUC